UACGGGGGGGGCAAGCGUUGUUCGGAAUUACUGGGCGUAAAGGGUUCGUAGGUGGCCCGCUAAGUCACACGUGAAAUCCCUCAGCUUAACUGGGGAACUGCGUGUGAGACUGGCAGGCUUGAGUGCAGGAGAGGAACGCGGAAUUCCAGGUGUAGCGGUGAAAUGCGUAGAUAUCUGGAGGAACACCGGUGGCGAAGGCGGCGUUCUGGACUGUAUCUGACACUGAGGAACGAAAGCCAGGGGAGCAAACGGG
rnacentral:rRNA from 1 species